rnacentral:rRNA from 1 species
CCUACGGGAGGCAGCAGUGAGGAAUAUUGGUCAAUGGACGAGAGUCUGAACCAGCCAAGUAGCGUGAAGGAUGACUGCCCUAUGGGUUGUAAACUUCUUUUAUAUGGGAAUAAAACGUUCCACGUGUGGGAUUUUGUAUGUACCAUAUGAAUAAGGAUCGGCUAACUCCGUGCCAGCAGCCGCGGUAAUACGGAGGAUCCGAGCGUUAUCCGGGUUUAUUGGGUUUAAAGGGAGCGUAGGUGGAUUGGUAAGUCAGUUGUGAAAGUUUGCGGCUCAACCGUAAAAUUGCAGUUGAAACUGGCAGUCUUGAGUACAGUAGAGGUGUGCGGAAUUCGUGGUGUAGCGGUGAAAUGCUUAGAUAUCACGAAGAACUCCGAUUGCGAAGGCAGUUCACUGGACUGCAACUGACACUGAGGCUCGAAAGUGUGGGUAUCAAACAGGAUUAGAUACCCGAGUAGUC